AUUGAACGCUGGCGGAAUGCUUUACACAUGCAAGUCGAGCGGCAGCGCGGGGCAACCUGGCGGCGAGCGGCGAACGGGUGAGUAACAUAUCGGAACGUACCCCGUCGUGGGGGAUAACUACCCGAAAGGGUGGCUAAUACCGCAUACGACCUGAGGGUGAAAGGGGGGGAUCGCAAGACCUCUCGCGAUGGGAGCGGCCGAUAUCGGAUUAGCUUGUUGGUGAGGUAAAGGCUCACCAAGGCGACGAUCCGUAGCUGGUCUGAGAGGACGACCAGCCACACUGGAACUGAGACACGGUCCAGACUCCUACGGGAGGCAGCAGUGGGGAAGAUUGGACAAUGGGGGGAACCCUGAUCCAGCCAUGCCGCGUGUGUGAAGAAGGCCUUAUGGUUGUAAAGCACUUUAAGCGAGGAGGAGGCUACUCUAGUUAAUACCUAGGGAUAGUGGACGUUACUCGCAGAAUAAGCACCGGCUAACUCUGUGCCAGCCGCCGCGGUAAUAC
rnacentral:rRNA from 1 species